CCUGGCAGUGCUGUGUCCACCAUGGAGCUGGACAGGGAGAAGCUGUAGGUGUGACCAGCUUUGGAGUCAGAGGGGCUGCGCUUCCUGCUUCCUGCACGUCACCGAAAGAAGACUGAGAAAACCAUUCAGCUGCAAAAUGGGUUACUUUUAUGGAAAAGGAAAGAAGAUUUGGAGGACAUAACCCAGAGCCAUGGUGAACCAUUACCAGGCAGUAGCACUGCAUCUAAUCAGAGAUUUGGACACACACAGGAACAGAUGGGACCACGUGAAGACUUAGAGAGAAGAUGGCCAUCGACCAGCCAAGAUAAGCUUCAAAAGGAACCAACCUGCCAACACCUUGAUCUUAGACUU